rnacentral:lncRNA from 1 species
UUUUUUUUUUUUGCUUUUUUAGGGCCACAUCCACAGCACAUGGAGGUUCCCAGGCUACGGGUCAAAUCAGAGCUGUGGCAGCCAGCCUAUACCACAGCCACAGCAACGUAGGAUCCAAGCCGUGUCUUCGACCUACACCACAGCUCACAGCAAUGCCGGAUCUGUAACCCACUAAGCAAGGCCAGCGAUCGAACCUGCAACCUCAUGGUUCCUCGUCGGAUCUGUUUCCACACACCACGUGGGGAACUCUUAUGAUUUCUUUUUUUGUCUUUUUUUUUUUUAGGGCUGCAGCUGCAGCAUAUGGAAGUUCCCAGGCCAGGGGUCUAAGUGGACCUACCCCUGUCUGCCUGCACUGAUAGCCACAGCAACACUGGAUCCAAGCAGUGUCUGCGACCUACACCACAGCUCAAAGCAACGCCAUAUCCUUAAUCCUCUGAAAGAGGCCAGGGAUUGAACCUACGUCUUCACGGAUACUAGUCAGAUUCAUCAUCACUGAGCCAUGAGGGGAACUCCCUACUCUAAUAAAAUUUUUAAAAGACAAAUAAAAACAGAAUAAAUGGGAAAUGACGCUAUUAGCUAAAAUGAAUAAAUAUGUAUUAUUAAUUGAAAAAACAAUUAUUAAACAUCCUUCUAUAAUGUGCUAGACAGUGUAAGGCACUGCAUAUACAAAGAUGAAUAAAGAAUAAAAUGUCUCUUUUCAUGAAGCUCAUAGACCACAUGGGAUGAAUGAUAAUUACCAAGAAAAUAUUAAAAGGCUAAAUUUUUACUUAGAAAAUGAUUUAAUUUAAUAGCAUCUGAAAGUAUGAAAAACACAUAAAAAUAAGCUCUCUUAUAUUAAAGAAAAAUGUCUCCCCUGGAAGAAAGGGUAUGAAUUAGAAGAGCAAUUCUCAUUUGAGUUCAGGGCGUGAUAUCUGGGCCUGCUGUUACCGAGGAGCCCAGAGAGCCUUGGUUUAAAUAGAUUAUACAUAUUUAAUGUUGGAAAUUAAAAGGAUUUUUUUUUUUUUUUUUUGUCUUUUUUAGGGCCACGCCCAUGGCAUAUGGAGCGGCCCAAGAAAUGGCAAAAAGACAAAAAAAAAAAAGCCAUUCUAGCAUACUAAGCAUUCAUGUUAAAUGAAGAUAAAUAAGUAUUCAUCAUAGGUGUCAGAAGGGAAUCUUACAAUAUUACUACAGUCUGGCUAUGAUUUACCAAAAAUGCAUUUUUUUUCAAACUUGACAGAUUAGGUCUGUAUUUACAAUAUAGUCUUUUUGUGAGGAGACAUUAUGUGUACCAGACAUUAUGCCUGACGAUGUUAUACAAAAUAUAUGUGACAGCUUUUGAAACCAAGUAGCUGUGUUAGGAAAAAUAGAUGGGACCACAACUAAUUAUAAUGCAAAGUAGUAAGUGCUAUUACAGUGGGACUUGUACAGAAAUACGGAAAAGACGGUGGUGGGGUUAAGGAGGAGGUUGGGGUUGCACAGAGACAGAUAGUGACAUUUGACUUAGAUCUUGAAGUAGGAUUUCACCAAGUAAAAGGGAGAGUAAGGGCAUCCAGGCAAAAGAAGCCACAUGAACAAAACUACCGAUGCCUGAGAGCCCAUUGCAAAUUUGGGAACAUAGAAGUUCCCAGAGAAAUUAUGUCAACUAGAAAGACAGGCUGGGGCAAAAUGGAAAGAUUCCUAAGGCCAUAUUAAGGAAAAGUUUAGCCUUGAUCCUACAGUCAACAGGGAGCCAGCAAAGGAUUUUUUAAGCAGAAAUGUAACAUAAUGAGACAGGUAUGCUAGAAAGAAAAAGAGAGAGACUCUGAUAGCAGCGCAGAAAAUUGGAACAAAGUGAGGAAAGACUACAGGGAAGAGGACAAGUCCAAUGAUCUUGGUAGGAA